AUGGUAAUCUUCAUUCAGUUUUCCCACACUGGAAGUCUUCUGUGUGCCGCUGCUCCUAUAAUGAGGACACAGGUACAGCAUUUGAGAAGGGCGGAAGCUGCACUGACUGUGUGUGGAGAAUGCCAAAGACCUGCUCGUGCGAGGGAGAAGACUAAAUUGCUUACUGUGAUGAGAGAAACAUGGGUUUCAAAUGCCUCUGUAAUAUCUAUUUCUUGGCCAACAUUCAGAAAGUAUACCUCUAUAAUAGUUAAGAGAAACAGGAACUUCUGACGAGGAUGUGAUAUGUCACAGUCCAACUAAAUAUAUGCCAUGCAAAAAUU
rnacentral:lncRNA from 1 species